rnacentral:rRNA from 1 species
GGCGGCAGGCCUAACACAUGCAAGUCGAGCGGAAACGAGUUAUCUGAACCUUCGGGGAACGAUAACGGCGUCGAGCGGCGGACGGGUGAGUAAUGCCUAGGAAAUUGCCCUGAUGUGGGGGAUAACCAUUGGAAACGAUGGCUAAUACCGCAUGAUGCCUACGGGCCAAAGAGGGGGACCUUCGGGCCUCUCGCGUCAGGAUAUGCCUAGGUGGGAUUAGCUAGUUGGUGAGGUAAGGGCUCACCAAGGCGACGAUCCCUAGCUGGUCUGAGAGGAUGAUCAGCCACACUGGAACUGAGACACGGUCCAGACUCCUACGGGAGGCAGCAGUGGGGAAUAUUGCACAAUGGGCGCAAGCCUGAUGCAGCCAUGCCGCGUGUGUGAAGAAGGCCUUCGGGUUGUAAAGCACUUUCAGUCGUGAGGAAGGUAGUGUAGUUAAUAGCUGCAUUAUUUGACGUUAGCGACAGAAGAAGCACCGGCUAACUCCGUGCCAGCAGCCGCGGUAAUACGGAGGGUGCGAGCGUUAAUCGGAAUUACUGGGCGUAAAGCGCAUGCAGGUGGUUUGUUAAGUCAGAUGUGAAAGCCCGGGGCUCAACCUCGGAAUAGCAUUUGAAACUGGCAGACUAGAGUACUGUAGAGGGGGGUAGAAUUUCAGGUGUAG